GACGAACGCUGGCGGCGUGCUUAACACAUGCAAGUCGAGCGGAAAGGCCUCCUUCGGGGGGUACUCGAGCGGCGAACGGGUGAGUAACACGUGAGUGAUCUGCCCUCUACUCUGGGAUAACUGCUUGAAAGGGUGGCUAAUACCGGAUGCGACCUGCUGCUGCAUGGCGGCGGGUGGAAAGCUUUUGCGGUGGGGGAUGUGCUCGCGGCCUAUCAGCUUGUUGGUGGGGUAAUGGCCUACCAAGGCUUUGACGGGUAGCCGGCCUGAGAGGGUGACCGGCCACACUGGGACUGAGACACGGCCCAGACUCCUACGGGAGGCAGCAGUGGGGAAUAUUGGACAAUGGGCGGAAGCCUGAUCCAGCAACGCCGCGUGAGGGAUGACGGCCUUCGGGUUGUAAACCUCUUUCAGCACAGACGAAGCCGACCCUACGUGUGGGGUGGGUGACGGUAUGUGCAGAAGAAGCACCGGCCAACUACGUGCCAGCCGCCGCGGUAAGAC
rnacentral:rRNA from 1 species